rnacentral:lncRNA from 1 species
AUUGUUAGAACAAAGAACGUUAAACAACUCAGGGAUGCAUUCCUUCAAGGAAAUAAAACCAAAACCAAAAUAAAACAGAUUGGCGUGUACACAGGGAGUCAAUAUGGCCUUGGCACCUGGGAAAGGAGUCUUAUUAUUGAAGGAGUGCCAGCAUUGGCAUUCCAGGAAAGGAAGCAUUUAAUCUUUAUUUUUCUUAGGGGCAUUCUUCUGGUCAGUGCUCCCUUUUCUUUUGUAAUUAAAGCAGAUGUGCAAUGUUUUGUUUGACAGGCCAUGAACAGGUUGUUUUAGUUAGCAUAAAAUUCAGGUUAACUCACAUAUAAACCGGAAUGACUUCCCCAUACCUGAAUAUGGGAAGAUUUCUUUGAUCAGUUCCCUGUCCCCUUCUUGUCCUCCACUUGUCCCCUAGAUGCCCGUGUGCCCAAGGCUCCAUCCUCGAUAUUCUUCUCUGAAUCCACACAGUCUCCCAAAUGAUCACAUCCACGCUUCUGAUUUCCAUGGUCACUGACUUCCAUGUGCUCUGAUGACCCUUGAAUCUUCCUUUCAAUGCGGUCAUUUCAUCUGAACUCCAGACCCAUUUAUUUGUCCAUCAGAAUCAAUAUGUCCAAGUUCAAACGCUUCCCUUUUCCCCCUUGAUUCUCUUAUAUUAAGUGAAUGACCCAGUCUUUAAUUCAGAUACCAAGUCAAAACACCUGGGAAUGAUCCCUGAUCCGUUCUUCAUCAUCUGCCACCUUCCACCAGAAAGUCUCAUCUGUGUGGCUCUUACAGGAGAGGCAUGAGUGGAAGGCAGCCCUGCCUUAUUACCCUCCUUCUCAGGGGGAGUAUAGUUCUAUAAAGGUCAGGAACAGUAUGUAGAUAUGGCUAUGGAUAUAGAUACAGGCAUAUGAAAUCAGCUACAUACAUUGUGAAUUAUAUUUCUGAUUUUAUUUGGCAGUUUUUGGUAAACCAAACUGACUGAAUUUGAAGGAAUUGGGAAUUUUCUGAAGAAAGGGGCUUAAUCCACAUUCACUAUUUAUUUGAGAAGAUUUUCAACAAGGAGUUCCCACUGAAGAAUCCAAUCGCAGCAGCUCCAGUUCACUGCAGAAGCACAGGUUCCAUCCCCAGUAAGUUAAAGGAUCUUGGAUUCAAUCCCUGGCCCAGAAACUUCCAUAUGGGAUGGGUGCAGCCAUUAAAAAAAAAAAUUAAAAAAAAAAAGAUUUCAAACAUACAGACAGGAACUCACCCUUGCAUGUCUACCACCUCAUCAGUCUAGUUUUUGUAGAAACGACAAC